rnacentral:rRNA from 1 species
CGGUCCAGACUCCUACGGGAGGCAGCAGUAGGGAAUCUUCCGCAAUGGACGAAAGUCUGACGGAGCAACGCCGCGUGAGUGAUGAAGGUUUUCGGAUCGUAAAGCUCUGUUGUUAGGGAAGAACAAGUGCAAGAGUAACUGCUUGCACCUUGACGGUACCUAACCAGAAAGCCACGGCUAACUACGUGCCAGCAGCCGCGGUAA